rnacentral:rRNA from 1 species
AUGAACGCUAGCUACAGGCUUAACACAUGCAAGUCGAGGGGCAUCAGGAAGAAAGCUUGCUUUCUUUGCUGGCGACCGGCGCACGGGUGAGUAACACGUAUCCAACCUGCCCUUUACUCGGGGAUAGCCUUUCGAAAGAAAGAUUAAUACCCGAUAGCAUAAUGAUUCCGCAUGGUUUCAUUAUUAAAGGAUUCCGGUAAAGGAUGGGGAUGCGUUCCAUUAGGUUGUUGGUGAGGUAACGGCUCACCAAGCCUUCGAUGGAUAGGGGUUCUGAGAGGAAGGUCCCCCACAUUGGAACUGAGACACGGUCCAAACUCCUACGGGAGGCAGCAGUGAGGAAUAUUGGUCAAUGGGCGUUAGCCUGAACCAGCCAAGUAGCGUGAAGGAUGAAGGCUCUAUGGGUCGUAAACUUCUUUUAUAUAAGAAUAAAGUGCAGUAUGUAUACUGUUUUGUAUGUAUUAUAUGAAUAAGGAUCGGCUAACUCCGUGCCAGCAGCCGCGGUAAUACGGAGGAUCCGAGCGUUAUCCGGAUUUAUUGGGUUUAAAGGGAGCGUAGGUGGACUGGUAAGUCAGUUGUGAAAGUUUGCGGCUCAACCGUAAAAUUGCAGUUGAUACUGUCAGUCUUGAGUACAGUAGAGGUGGGCGGAAUUCGUGGUGUAGCGGUGAAAUGCUUAGAUAUCACGAAGAACUCCGAUUGCGAAGGCAGCUCACUGGACUGCAACUGACACUGAUGCUCGAAAGUGUGGGUAUCAAACAGGAUUAGAUACCCUGGUAGUCCACACAGUAAACGAUGAAUACUCGCUGUUUGCGAUAUACAGUAAGCGGCCAAGCGAAAGCAUUAAGUAUUCCACCUGGGGAGUACGCCGGCAACGGUGAAACUCAAAGGAAUUGACGGGGGCCCGCACAAGCAGUGGAGUAUGUGGUUUAAUUCGAAGCAACGCGAAGAACCUUACCAGGUCUUGACAUCCGAUGCAUAGCACAGAGAUGUGUGAAAUCCUUCGGGACAUCGAGACAGGUGGUGCAUGGUUGUCGUCAGCUCGUGUCGUGAGAUGUUGGGUUAAGUCCCGCAACGAGCGCAACCCUUGUGAUAUGUUACUAACAUUGAGUUGAGGACUCAUAUCAGACUGCCGGUGAUAAACCGGAGGAAGGUGGGGAUGACGUCAAAUCAUCAUGCCCCUUAUGGCCUGGGCUACACACGUACUACAAUGGAUGUUACAAAGGGAAGCGAAGUGGUGAUAUGGAGCGAAACCCAAAAAGCAUCCCCAGUUCGGAUUGUAGGCUGAAAUUCGCCUACAUGAAGCCGGAAUUGCUAGUAAUGGCAGGUCAGCAUACUGCCGUGAAUACGUUCCCGGGCCUUGUACACACCGCCCGUCACACCAUGAGAGUUGGGAAUACCCGAAGCCUGUGAGCCAACAGUUAAAUGAGGCAGCAGUCGAAGGUAGAAUCAAUGAUUGGGGUG